AUAUUGGACAAUGCCCGCAAGGGUGAUCCAGCCAUGCCGCGUGCAGGAAGAAGGCCCUAUGGGUCGUAAACUGCUUUUGAACAAGAGAAAACCCUCCGACGUGUCGGAGGCUGAUAGUAUUGUUAGAAUAAGCAUCGGCUAACUUCGUGCCAGCAGCCGCGGUAAUACGGAGGAUCCAAGCGUUAUCCGGAAUCAUUGGGUUUAAAGGGUCCGUAGGCGGGACAAUAAGUCAGUGGUGAAAGUCUGCAGCUUAACUGUAGAAUUGCCGUUGAAACUGUUGUUCUUGAGUAAUUAUGAAGUGGUUAGAAUAUGUAGUGUAGCGGUGAAAUGCAUAGAUAUUACAUAGAAUACCGAUUGCGAAGGCAGAUCACUAAUAAUUCACUGACGCUGAUGGACGAAAGCGUAGGUAGCGAA
rnacentral:rRNA from 1 species